GCUUUCGUGGUGCAGCGGUUAGCACACUCGGUGCGUAUUCCAGAGGUGCAGGUUCGAGUCCCGGCGAUGGCA
rnacentral:tRNA from 1 species